rnacentral:rRNA from 1 species
AGUGAACGCUGGCGGUAGGCCUAACACAUGCAAGUCGAACGGCAGCACAGUAAGAGCUUGCUCUUACGGGUGGCGAGUGGCGGACGGGUGAGGAAUACAUCGGAAUCUACUUUUUCGUGGGGGAUAACGUAGGGAAACUUACGCUAAUACCGCAUACGACCUACGGGUGAAAGCAGGGGAUCUUCGGACCUUGCGCGAUUGAAUGAGCCGAUGUCGGAUUAGCUAGUUGGCGGGGUAAAGGCCCACCAAGGCGACGAUCCGUAGCUGGUCUGAGAGGAUGAUCGCCAACAUGGAAAUUGAGAAAGGUCCCAGAAUCUUAGGGAGGCAAGAGGUGGGAAAAAUUGACAAUGGGCGCAAGCCUGAUCCAGCCAUACCGCGUGGGUGAAGAAGGCCUUCGGGUUGUAAAGCCCUUUUGUUGGGAAAGAAAAGCAGCAGGUUAAUACCCCGCUGUCCUGACGGUACCCAAAGAAUAAGCACCGGCUAACUUCGUG